GGAGAGUUGUCCGAGCUGGCCGAAGGAGCACGAUUGGAAAUCGUGUAGUGGGUUAACGCUUACUCGUGGGUUCGAAUCCCAUGCUCUCCGCCA
rnacentral:tRNA from 1 species